GAUGAACGCUGGCGGCGUGCCUAAUACAUGCAAGUCGAGCGAACGGACGAGAAGCUUGCUUCUCUGAUGUUAGCGGCGGACGGGUGAGUAACACGUGGAUAACCUACCUAUAAGACUGGGAUAACUUCGGGAAACCGGAGCUAAUACCGGAUAAUAUUUUGAACCGCAUGGUUCAAAAGUGAAAGACGGUCUUGCUGUCACUUAUAGAUGGAUCCGCGCUGCAUUAGCUAGUUGGUAAGGGAACGGCUUACCAAGGCAACGAUGCAUAGCCGACCUGAGAGGGUGAUCGGCCACACUGGAACUGGGACACGGUCCAGACUCCUACGGGAGGCAGCAGUAGGGAAUCUUCCGCAAUGGGCGAAAGCCUGACGGAGCAACGCCGCGUGAGUGAUGAAGGUCUUCGGAUCGUAAAACUCUGUUAUUAGGGAAGAACAUAUGUGUAAGUAACUGUGCACAUCUUGACGGUACCUAAUCAGAAAGCCACGGCUAACUACGUG
rnacentral:rRNA from 1 species